AAGAGCAGAUGGAAAUACAGAGACCCUCAGAGAAGAGAAGGCCAUGUAAAGAUGGAGGCAGAGGUUGGAGUGAUGCGUACAAGCCCAGGAACACCAAGGAUGCCGGCAUCCACCAGAAGCCAGGAAGAGUCCACCGAAGCAUUCACUUGGCACCUCUCCAAAUCUGGGUACUGUGCAAGAUCCUUCCUUGGGACACUGAAGGAAAAUCAGACACGGCCCUUCUCUCAAGUUCGCAGACUCUCCGGUAUCCAGAUACUACGGCUCUCAUAGUAUCAGAAAACACAGCCACAAGCGCAGGUAUCAGCGUGCCUGGCACAUAAAUGGUGCUCAAUAAAUACUUGCGGAAGGAAGACAAGAUAAGCAGCCAGGUUGGAAAGAAAAAAAAAUCCAUAAAGGAAUAUUGACAUUAAAUGCUAAGUGAUGUCACAAGGAUUUAACCUUUUUGUUCUCUUUAUGUAGAUAAAGUAUACGCAAUUACACGAAAUCCUACAGAUGUCUCGUAGUUCUCAAAAUUCUUCAUUUGUUUCUCCUCCACUUCUUUAUACAACUAAAUAGUAGAAAGAGCCAAGCAAUGUGCACAGUAAAAUUUCUACUGCAGAGUAGUUAAAAGUAUCACUACUCAGCAAUGUACUGUACUAUUCAAAGAGUGCUAAGUGUUUUCCUCUCUACCCAUGACGCAAGUUCUCGCUCCUUCUGUGGGAUGUGAUCUUGGCUUCCUUCUUUGGACAAAGCCAAUCCAGAGCACACUGCAUCACCACACUCACUUAUCAAGAAAAGGCCAAUAUUAUCUAAUAUACGUGAAAAUAAAACAUGAAGAUAUAUGGCAUUAUUUUCCUUUGUGCACAAAAACAAAUUUUUUUUCCAAGUGCGACUGUUUUACUAAAGAAAACCAAUUAUUAUUUACCUUUACUCUUAAA
ensembl:lncRNA novel transcript